CUCUUCACACCUAAAUCACAUUGCACCAAUGAGAGGACUGUAGCAUGACAUAAGCGUUCCCAGGCCAAUAACACAGCCAUCGCCUCUGCAUCACCUGUAACUGUGUGGAAACCUCACGGGGGCAAUCAGUACCAGAUUUCCAACGGAUGGUGACUGUAAACACCACUGUUUACUUUAGAGAAGAUGAAAUACCAGGAAGAAGAGAUUGAUGGUAGAGUGAAAAA